CAUCACGGAUGAUCGCGCAGUUUAUUUAAAACUGUGAGGAAAGUCCAUGCUCACACAAGCUGAGAUGCUUGUAGUGUUCGUGCGCAGCGAAAUAAUAAGCUGCGGCUCCCAUUUAGAUGGGAUGACGGCAGGAAAAAAAGCUAAGGGGUUAAACCUAUGCUUGAGUACUCUUGAAAGUGCCACAGUGACGAAGCAGAUGUAGAAAUGCAUCUGGUGGAACGCGGUAAACCCCUCGAGUGAGCAACCCAAAUUUUGGUCGGGGCACUUUUCUCCUGGAAAUGAACAGAGAGAAGAGGCAGGGCAACUAUGCUCGUGCAGACAGAUGAUCAUCUCGGAUAAGACGUUACCGUUUUAUCUAGACAGAACAUGGCUUACAGUG
rnacentral:RNase_P_RNA from 3 species